UCAAACGUUCUGACCUCGCUCAGUCUGAGCCACAUUUGGCAAAUAAAUCAAAACUUUUAACAACGGAUCUCUUGGCUCUGGCAUCGAUGAAGAACGCAGCGAAAUGCGAUAAGUAAUGUGAAUUGCAGAAUUCCGUGAAUCAUCGAAUCUUUGAACGCACAUUGCGCCCUCCGGCAUUCCGGAGGGCACGCCUGUCCGAGCGUCAUUACAACCCUCAAGCUCCGCUUGGGUAUUGGGCGACCGCCCGCCAGCCCUCGGGCGGCGAACGCGCCUCGAAGAACUCGGCGGUCCCAGGACGGCUCCGGGCGUAGCAAAAGCGAAUCGCCUUGGAGUCCGCCCCGGCGGCCUGCCGCACAAAUGACACGCAACUUUUUGCAAGGUUGACCUCGAAUCAGGCGGGGAUCCCCGCUGAACUUAAGCAUAUCAAUAGCCGGAAGAAAGAUUCCCCAGG
rnacentral:rRNA from 1 species